CUGGCCAAUCACGGCACUGAAUUCCUCUUGCUAGCGAUUCAUGUAGUGAUUGAGUCACUCAGGUUCCUCCAAUAGCAAUGAACCAAGGACCUAAGUGGGACGUACCAGGGAGAUAUUUUCCUCCUGAAGUUACUUACCGAAAUGGUGACGUGAGCCUGGAAUGGCCAGGAGCCACUACAUAGUACCUAAAAUAAACCCACACUGCGGGAGGCAGAGCUAAGACAGAGAAAAAUGGAAUUCUGAAGAUAUUAUUAGAGCUGCUAUCAAUCUGGCCCUAGCCCCGAACUUUUCAAUUACUUGGGCCAAUAGAUUUUCUCCUCCCACCCCAUCUUCUUGGCUGAAGCCAGUUUGAAUUAGUUUUUGUCUUUUGCCACCAACACUGAAAGAGUUUUGAUAUAGAGACGGAUGAAAAGACAGCAUUCCUGAUCCUGAGGCGGCAGACGUAAACUCAAGUGUGUCUCUCUCUAGGGCUCUGUCUGGAUUUCUGAAAACAUGAAGGGGCUGAUUACAAAUCUCCUUACCAGAUAAUAGAGCUAUUCCUCACUCUCCCAGCCUUGGCUACCCAGAGAAAUUGUUGGGAAGAUUGAAAGAGCAGAUUCGAGGAGGCUAUGCUUCAAGAGCAGCUUUCCAGAACCACACCACAGGACUGGCUGCUUCUGGGCCCCACAGCCACGAUGCCUCUGCACCAAUCAGGAAGCUGCUGGUUUUAGAAUAACCAAAUGUCUCCACCCGUGUUUGCCAGUAAAAUCAUCUCCCUAUGCCUGGUUUCCUCCUCAUCAGGCUUCAUUUUUCCUUCCAUGUUUUGUGAGGAGUCUGUCAUUACUUUUUGCCAUUAAAAGUAAUGGCAAAAUCCGCAAUUACUUUUGCACCAGCCUACUACCUUCCCAAGAGGGGACCUAGCUGUCUGGGAGUCUGGGAAAUGUAGUUUUUAGCUUUCAAGAUUUUAUUACAUAGGAAGAAGGUUAGGAUGAAUGUUGAGUAAACCAAUCUGCAAUAUUUAGCCCAGUAUUUAUUUUAUUUUAUUUUAUUUUUCUGAGACAGGGUCUCAUUCCCAUCAUCCAAGAUAAAGGGCAGUGGUGCAAUCACAGUUCACUGCAGCCUUGACUUCCCAGGCUCAGGUGAUCCUCCUAUCUCAGCCUCCUGAGUAGCCAGGACUAUAGCUGCAUGCUACCACAUUUGGCUAAUUAUAUAUAUAAUAGCAAAUAUAAAUAUAUAGUAAAACUAAAUGUAAUAUACACAUUUAGUAAAUACAGGGUUUUGCCAUGUUGCCCUGGCUAGUCUUGAACUCCUGGGCUCAAGCAUCCUGUCUGCCUCUGCCUACCAAAGUGCUGGGAUUACAGGCAUGAGCUACUAUGCCUGGCCCAUUGCCCAGUAUUUUAUUCUGAUCAUAUAAUCUACACGUUUGCCAUUUUCAGUAACCACACAUUUAUUCUUUAUAAAUUCAUUCAUUCAUUCAGUCAGUCAGUCAGUCACUCAUCAAGUGUCAGGCAGCAUGCUAGGUGCUAUGUAUCAAAGAUGAUGAAGUUAAUGUCUGCGUGGGUGGUGGAAUUUCAGAAGAUGAGGGCCAAUAGCAAAGCCAAUUGUGGAGUACUGGAGGGUGCUGACAGCCACUUCUCAUGGCCAAUCUGUUAUUUCCAUGGAAGAUUGCAGUCUCCAUGUGGUCAGAUCCCCCCACAGUCAAGCGAAGCCAAAGUCUAAAAUUUCAUGCAAAUUCUUUUUUUUUUCUUGUAACACAGAUUGUAUUUAUUUGUAGAGACAGGGUCUUGCUAUGUUUCCCAGGCUACUUUCAAACUCCUGGCCUUAAGUGAUCCUCCCACCUUAGCCUCCCAAAGUGCUAGAAAUACAUGAAUUCUUCAGAUCCUUAAAAAUCAAUGGUUCUUAAUACUAGCUGGACGUCAGGAUAACCAGGGUAUCUUUUAAAAAUUACUGAUGUCUACCCCAGCCUAAUCAUGAAAAAAACAUUAAACAAAUCCCAAAUGAGAGGCAUUGUACAAACACCUGACCAGCACUCCCCAAGACUGUCUUGAUCAUCAAAUCCAAGGUAAGUCUGAGAAACUAUGAUGACCAAGAAGAGCCCAAGGAGACACACCAGAUAAAUAGAAUGUGGUGUCCUAGAUGGGAUACUGGAACAGAAAAGAUCAUCAGGGAAGAACUGAGGAAAUCUGAAUAAAGUAUGAUAUUGGUUAAUAAUAAUGUGUAAAUAUGAGUUUAUUAAUUGUGACAAAGGUAGUAUACUAAUGUAAGAUGUUAAUAAGAGAGGAAACUGAAUGUGGGGUAUAUGGAAACACUCUGUAUUGUCUUUGCAAUAAUUGUGUAAAUCUAAAACUGUUCUAAAGUAAAAAGCUUACUAAAAACAGAUACUGACAUCUAGGACCCUUCCCAGGCAGAUUGAAGCUCAAUCAUUAAGGGGGUGGGAUUCAAACACUGACAUGUUUCGGAAAGUGUUCCAGGUGGUUCUAGUGUGCAGUUGGGGUUGAGGAUUAGUGCUUUACAUUUGGCACUAACUUAUAUAUUUUAAAAACACUGUAAUGGUAAAAUAAAACAUCUGUGGGGCCAUAUGCAGCCUGUCGCCACCAGUUUGGGAAUUCUGCUCUAUGCUUUCAAGAAAAUGAUAGUAUAGCUUGGGAGAAACACAUCAUCAAAUACACGGGUAAUGACUGAAACUUCUAUAGCCUGUGAGGAGUCCCCAAGAAGGAGCAGUGGUGCCAGUGGGAGAGGAAAAGGUGGCGGUGGUCUGAGUAACUGAGAUGACAUUCCUGAAGCACCUCCUGACGUAUUUUCCCAUUGAUCACCUAUUUCCUUUCCUUGCACCUUGCCUGCUAUCAUUGUCCUGCAGACGUGGAGUGGGGGAAGUAAAUAGAAUCUCGUGAAAGAGAAGGACUGAUCAGGCUUGCUUCUCAAAGGGUGGUCAUUGAGCAGCCUGGUUGGCAUCACCAGGGAGCUUGUUAGAAAUGCAGACUCUCAGGCCAGAUUCCAGAAUGAUUGAAUUGGAGUCUGCAUUUUAAUAGGAUCCUAAGGCGAUUUAUAUUCACUGAUGUAGAGGGCUCUUGUAAAUCAGGAAGGGAGAUUAGAAACCCAUUCCAGCACUAACAGAAGGCACCCAGGAGAGAGGAGAAAAAGGGCAAGAGUUUUUAGUGAUGAAUGUUGGACUCCUCCUUCAGAGUUGAGGAGGGUGUAGAACACCCAGGUAGUUUUGUGGCAAUGCAGAAUAUUGGGGUAGAUUCCUGCUUCUUUGGACAUUAUUUGGGGGUAAUUCAUCACAUCACCACAUCCAAUAUGACACAAGAACAGUAGAAUAGCAUUGGCAGAGGACAAAUCUAAAUAUAGGGGUGUGAGACAGUGCACCAGGUGCCUACAGCCUGCACACAGCACUGAAGACACCCAGAAGCUCCAGCAGCCUCAGUGCAGGGCUCUAAAAGAGUGGAAGGAUAGGGGCCAGAAAAGCUUCCUGGGCUCAGAAAUGAGGAGGCUUCAGAAUAUGG
rnacentral:lncRNA from 1 species